ensembl:lncRNA
GCAUGGUAGAUUGAAGCAGAGCCAUGUCUUGGUCAGCAAAGCACACUGAGAACCGGGAUAUAUGGAAGUAUUUUCCCACAGACGACAGCCAUGCUGAUGGCUUCUUUCCAGUGAGAAGUGGUUUAAAGGAAAUAUCCAUGGCCAAAAGAGGGUGUAUAUUUUCUACCACUUUGGAAGAGCAAUGGCUACAAGAAUGAUGGUUGAUGGACAGUAAGUUAAAAAUUGUGAACGCUGCUGGUGGGUGUCCCCUGUGGCAGAUGAAAACUGAUAGUACAACGGAACCUCUGCUGAGUACUGCAGUUUUUCUGAGGUUGGGAUGGAGAAUGAAGUGGGAAGGAAGCAGAGUGGCUCCAGUUCCUGGAAUUCCAGCAUGAUUUGAGCACUUCAGAUUGUGUUGCAACAAAGUUAGUUCUGGCAUUCCCUUGCAGAGAGUGAUUUGAAAACCUGACUCACAACCAUCCUACAGACGCAGAAACAAAAAAGAAUCUGGAGCACUGUGUAAACGAGGGAAGAGAGAUGUACCAUUAGUGCAGCGUGCACAUGAGAUGCAGCAAGACACUGCACUAGAAUCGCCCCAGGACUCUGUUAAAGAAAAGCAGCUCUUGAGCAACUUGCAGAAUAGCUUCUUCCAUUGUUUCUGAAGAAUUCUUU